AAGUCUUUCUUCUGGUAGUGGUACCUGAACAAGAAUCUAUAGGGGUGAGCUUACACUCAAUAGGACCAGACCUCUUAAGUUAUACUUAAUUACGUCACACAAUCAAGUUAUCACAUAUUAAACAAUACUUUAUAUAAAUAACUAAACAAGAAUCUAUAGGGGUGAGCUUAUGCUCAGUAGGGCUAGACCUCUUUAAGUUAUACUUAACUACGUCACACAAUCAAAUUAUCACAUAUUAAACAAUACUUUAUAUAAAUAACAAUUCAAUGCAUAUAAUCUAAUGAACUUCCUCCACUCAAUUACUGGCUGAUUAGUCCAUACAUCAAAGACAUAUGAACCUACACGUCUCAUACCGUGUAGAUGUCUUGAAUAUACGACCAAACAAUCAGUAAUAUCUCACCACAUGUACCUCUUUUGUUAGUCAUCUUGUUAUACUCAUGGCAUUCCAAACCCAAAACCCGAUUAGAUCGUUUUAUCGACGUCCGCUGUCGAUGGGCCAUGCAUUCCCCUUAUUUGUGCACGUGUGGGCUAAUCAUAGAUCUUGGAUGCCCCAUGAGGAAACUCAACUACACAAAAUGUAUAUGUUCUAUCAAUCUCAUUCUCAAUCUCCACAAUCACCAUUCUCACCUCUCAUAAUUCCUCACAAUGCGUUAUGGAUGUCAAUGAGUAGGGCUGGGCACGGGACGGGAUGGGCCAGGAUUUGAUGAACGUCGUCCCGUCCCGAAAAUAAGAACGGGAUGGGAAGGCCUUUUUAAAAAUCUAUCUUGUACGUCCCGAUCCCGAACGGGAUCUGGAUUGGGAUCCCGAAAAAUUAACCCUCAAACAAACAACAACUGAAAAUAUCCCCACCCUUCUCUUCUGUCUCACCUCACCACCUCACUUGUUUUAGCGCCUCUCUCUCUCUUUCUCUCUUUCUCUGCAACUUAAUCGAUCAUCCAUGGCCGACAUCACCGACUCCGGUUCUCACCACCACCUCUCAGUCACCACUCCCCCCCAGAUCUCCAAAGGUAUGUAACUGUGAUCCCCACUGACGUGCAGCUUCUGAUGUAGCCAAAUAGCGAGAAGCCACAGCAGGAACGAGUGAUGAGUCCAACCUUCCAGACAAAAGAACACUGAAUGGUACAUCUGUCAUGAGUCUCUUCAACAUAGCCUACAAGAUUGGGAAGAAGAAUAAUGUAAGGAUAUGCAUGAAGCUAAAUAGUGACAGACUGACGGUGGAAUGAAGCACAGGGGCCAUCGAAAUCUCUCUUAAGAAACCACAUAUCUGAUUAUCACUCAUAGUUUAGAUGCUAAAUUGAUAUUUAUAUAUUUUUUCAUUAGAAACCAUUACUAUGAGGCAAUAGUUAAAUACUUAAACUGCUACACUAUCUCAAGGUGGGCAGAUAGAAAGGAUGUGCUUUAUGCAAGUUUUCAAUGGGUAUAACAGGCAUAAAGUAGGAGGAGGGAAAAGAAAAAGGUAGGAAUAGAUCUCCAAAGGUAUUUCCCCUUCCAUUCCCUCCUCCCUCUUCCCCUCCUCCCCUCCUCAAUCCUUUCCGUGAAUUCCAACAUGAGAUGAGCCUUUAUCCGGCAUGCUCCCAUCUUUGCCUGAGUCAGCCCAUUUGUCACGCAAACCUUCUGCCUCCUUGUUAUCAGGACCCCAACGCGAGUUCCAUUUGCUCUCCCAUCAUUGCUCAUAGUUGGACUCCUUGUUACUUGAGUCAGUCCACCUUUCUGAUGGUGCACGACGUGGGGGGAGUGGAGGCGUUAUGUUUGAGAGUGAGAUCAAAUUUUCUUUUGUGUUUAGGUUUUACUGUUUUAGACCAAAUUGAGUGUGGUUGAGUGCAUUGUAACAUCAUGUAACCUAAAAACUCAAAUAUAAAAUGAUUAAAAUUAGGUAUUUUAAUAUUACGGGACGGGAUGGGAUUUUUCGGGAUAGUCCCGACGAUCCCGUCCAGUCCCGUUUCAACAUUACCAUAACGGGACGGGACGGGACGAGAUUGUCAUUUUCAAAACCUAUCCCGUCCCAUCCAGCCAACUUUCCCAUCCCGCCAACUUUCGGGACAGGACCGGUACGGGAACGAGAUUCCUGUACUAAGUGCCUAGCCCUAUCAAUGAGUAACGACACUUGCAUUACAAUAUUUAACACAUGCUUUUAAUGAAAAGCAAUAACAUCAAUUUCAUAUAAAUAAACGAUUACACAUGCUUUAUUGAAAACAAUAACAAUCAACAAUUAACCAAUCAAUGCCACACAAAACACCCAUUUCAAUUAUAAUCUAAUUAUCAAUUUAAGAAAGAUUCCCUGAGAAAGACCCUACCUGGAAUCCAAGCGUUGACGCUAAUUAAAACUAGUAACACCGCGACACGUUUUCUGGAAUCUUUAUCCUUCUGCUUCUGGAAUCCUACGACUUGCAUUCGAUCCUCGUACUGAAUCCUCUUUCCGAGAAAGUAGGCGAAUCUCUUCAAGUCAAUACGAUCAAGUCCUUGAAAUUGAUAAGGACACCCAUCCAACUACAAAUUCACUAUGGACACCCAAAAAUAUCUCCACCAAUUUUCUCUGCACCAUUAGUUGCUAAUGUCGUCAUAUCUCAAUUGCACUCUAAAUACCAGUCCAAGUUCUUUUCACUAAACUUCCUUUAUCCCUUAGCUUCUGGAACUGAAAUGACACGAUUAAUACCAACAUCACAAUUGUGAACUCAAGAACAUAAAACAUCUAUGUUGUUCUUCCUUCACUACAAACAACAAAGGACCAGCUCUUGCCUUCCAUCCCAAAUCCAAUCUUCUCUAUAAUUCAAGAACUUCAAAUCAAUAAUUCAAACCAAUAACUAACCAAAGCCAGAAAGCAAUUCCAAUAACCACCAGCGCCGUCGUACACAACGGCCAGCCACGGUGGUCAUCCCCUGCCAAAACCCAAACUCUCUUCAAAACUCCACCGAUUUCGAAUUUAAGCAUAUGCAAUCACUCACACCAAUUCAACACAUUAACAAAGCCGAAAAAUCAAUUCCUUCAACCCCCAUCGUUGUUGUGAAUAGUGGCACACACAGCGGUCCUCCACUGCCUAAAACCAAUUUCAUCAUCUCUCAACCAAACUCAAAUUCAAGCAUAUAAACAGGUAGAACUCAACAAAUGGACCAAGUUUCAUACCUUGAUCGAUACCAAACGUCUCCGGAAAACUCAAACCACUCCUCUACAUUGAUUCUUACUCAUCACUGCUCAUCUCGACAUAUUGAAGCCACAUGGAGGUUCUCCAGGUCAAGACGAAGCUACCACCACCAGCCAUGCAUGCCGCCGUGGCUGGAAUCGGAAACCCGAUCGGAGAGGCAGUCACCUUCUCUCCUCUGAUUCUCUUUCAGCAGCGCUCCUCCAUAAAAUCUAACACAACAGAGAUGUCGGGGACGACGAGGAGAAGCUUUGGCCAUCGAUGGGACGGCGAGAGAUGGCCUGACGAUGGAAGGGAGCGCUGAGCUCCGUCAUAGCUCGAGACGUGGUCAGUCGGUCUGGGUUUUGAUCUGACGAUAUCCAAACUGAUCCAUACAUUUUUAUUUAUCAUGCAAUCAACGACCAAGAUCUGGCGGUUUGAUAAAUCCAAUGGCCCAGAUCAACUCCCUUUAAUUUCUAUUUUUAAUUAAAUUUUAGAUAAUACCAACUUCCAAAAAUCAUUAAAAAGAGCUCCGAUGUCCAAAAAUACUUAUGAAAAAUCCUAUGAACUCGUAACGACUUCUAGUUUAAUCUUAUGGGCUCGAAAGAUAAAUUUUGACAUACCAAAAAUUUGAAUAUUUUUCAAAAGCUACUAAGAAUAUAAAGAAUAAUCGAAAUCGAAAUAAAAUAGCUCGAAAAUAAUUUCCCCUUUUAAAAAUAGAAAUCCGAAUUUCUGAGAUGUUAUAGUACUCUUACACUUCAAAUGAUUUUUCAAUUGAAGUGGAUUAUUAACAUUUAAUAAAGUUUUAGUUUUUUUCUUUUAUUCUUAGUUUUGUUAUAUUUAAAGUUCAAUUCAU
rnacentral:lncRNA from 1 species